UAGAAGAGGCUGUACAAAAACCUGAACACAGAUAUGUGACUACUCUUCAAAGAGGAGGGAAGUGGUAUUCAAACCACAGCUUCAUAUCAGAUGGAUUCUGCUCAUUCCUGUUCCAUCAGAGUCACUGUGGUUACAGCUGCUAAUGAAACACUGUGGGAGGAUUCACAUGAGCAGCAAAUCCACAUCACUGACAAACCACUGUGGGCCAUUCAGGCUCAAUCAGCUCCUUCCAUUGUUUAAUAUCCUUGGCAACAUGUUGGGCUCCAUCUGAAACAGACACUAAAGCACUGACUAAUAAACACUAACUGUGUACAAGCCAUAACAAAGACUGACUGCUGCAUUAUUUCUGACUGACACACAGGGCUGUGAAUGAGCCCUGUCACUGUGAUCAGGCUCCUCCUUCUAAUCCACCAACUUAGUGUUGAUGAAGACCAAACAGAGAGAUCACAGCCUUCUUUAUACUCGCUGGAGCUCACAGUUACUCAGCACUGCAGACAUGACGCCUCUGUUCACCUCACUGUUGCUGGCUGCUAUGUGCUUUGAAUGCAGAGCACAGAAAGACAACGUGCUGCAACCAAAAGAAGAUGUGACUGCUGCUGAAGGAGAGGCAGUAACACUUGGCUGUCAAUAUAACAGCAGUGGAAC